CCUGUGGCUUCUCUUCUAGGGGCUGUUGAGUCACUGUGUCUGUGAGUCCAUGUACCCCACCUUCCUCUCUCCUUUCCACCUCCAGCUUGCUGCACAGAUGUCAGAGCGUGAGUCUGGAGAUCUCUGUGUCCUUGAGCAUGGCACGGCGGGAGUGCCGAGGAAGCACAAAGGUGUUUUGUGCAGCAGCACCCAACAGCUUCUGCGCCGGGGAGCCGACUGCGCAGAGAAUGGGCCGCGGACAAAGGCAGCGCCGCCUGAGUACCUGUAAUUGGAGCAUCCACGUGCGAUGCAAGGGACAAAAGGGAGACGAAUGGCCGUGUCUUAGGCUGCCCGUUGCUAUGGUUUCACUGGGGCUGCUGGGGAGGGCCGUUACCAGGCAACGGGAAAGGGACCUAGACAAAGGAGCCUGUGUGAGGGAGAGGUUUGGGGCAGGUGUGAGUGUAUGGGGCGAGGUGGGGAGGAGAGGAUGUGGGAGGGGUGGAGGCAAACAGGUAAGACAGAGGGAGUCUAAAGAGAUGAGGGUCAGACAGAGACAACAAAGAGACAAGGUGAGGCAGGGAGGCGAGAAGCAGAGAGAUGCAGCGCAGAGAGAGACAUUAAAACAGAAGUAGAGACAGAGAAAAAUGGAGAUACUCAUCCAGCCAUGAGCACCUGCUGUAUGCCCUCUGGAGAGAGGACUGUUAGCAAGACGGACGGACACCAUUCUAUCCUUGGAGCUCACAGACGCAGGGGGAGAAAUGGAUGCUUUCGCGGGACCAAAGGGAGAUGCUUCUUCCCCCUUCGAGUGGCUGGGAUGUACUCUUUAGUCCGGUGUCUCUUUAAGGCUGGUGACCCCUGGAUUGGGCCAUCGCACCCCUCAUUCCAGGUGGCUUCAUUCCUCGGAGGCUGUUUGUACCAAGCGACUCUCUUGGUCAAAUGACACUCAGGCUCUCUCUAGUAGCUCUUCCUUUGGUCCAUAUCGUGAUGCCCAAAUUUCCUACCAUCCAGGUGACCUGGGACAGGUUACUUCACUUAAUAAUUAUGUAGCUACAAAAAUGCUUUUACAUGCUGUACUCAUUUGAUCCUGUGUGGUUGGCAUCAUCACUACUACCACUUUACAUGAGUGGGAACUGAGGUCUGAAGGGAUGAAAUGCUUUGCUGGAGGACUCGUGGUUGCUCAGUGGCAAAGUCACCAGGUCUUCUGAUUCUCAGCCCAGUGUUCUUUCUUCUGCUCACAUCUGCAUCUGGGUCAAGGUUUGUGUUCUGCAAGGAACAGAAACCUAUACAAAUGAACUCUAGUAAGGGGAGAUUAAUGGGAAGGACAGGAAAGGUGCUCCUGUAGGACUCAAGCUGAUUCUACAAGAGACUUCAUCCAGGCACUGAACAGAUAUCUGAAACCAAGAAAACCAAUCUUUUCUUUCUGUCUUUCCAAAACCACCUAGUGACCCCCUCUCUGCUUUUCUUUGCACACUGGCUCUGUUUGUCAGGAUUGAAAAUGUGAAAAAUCACCCUCAAGGAAAUUCUUUUUCAAUUCAAAUUCUCAAGAGAGAACCUGAUUGAGUCACUUAAAUCACACAUACAGCCCCAAUCUAGUCAAAUAUGGGCAAGUGGAGAGGCUUUUAGCAUUUAUAACAUGACUGGCUACUUGUGGCCAACUCAUUAGCAAGGUCUGUCAAAUAAAAUAAAAUGGGCACCCUGAAUUAUCUGCAUAAAUAUACUCACUUCCAUCAAGGGGAUACCAAGAUUAAUCUUGCCUGCUUUCCAGGACUGUUGUAAGAAGUUCAUAUUAUUGAAGGAGUUUGUAAGCUAUCAAGUGUUAUUUAAGUGGAAGGGGCAUCUUUGAAGCAAAACACUUACCUUUGCCAAGAACAGACCUCUUUUGCCCAGAUCACAGCCCUGACCCAAGGGGCAGCAUGCAAAAAAUUGUUAUUGAAUAAGGAGUGAAGGAGGAUAGGAAGAUCUCAGAGGAUGGGAGAGGACAGAUGGGCUAAGAUGUGUAUUGUGGUGGAGUGAGGAUGAGGAAGGAGAUGCCAUUCAUCCAUUAACUUAUUUAUUCACUAAUAUAAUAAGCUUUGUGAGCCUGCAGUGUGCCAGGAGCCAUGCCAGAUGAUGGAGAUACAAUGAUGAAUAUGACAUAGCCUCUGUUUUCCAGGGAUGUAUAGGAGGGUUGGGUGACAGGCACAUAACCUGCCAGUUACUAAGUAUCUUGAAAUGUGCUGUAUGAGAGAGAUGAUGGGAUCAGAAAGUGUGACUUAACUCAGCCAGAAGCACCAAGGAAGGCCAAGUGCAGAGAGAGAGGCAGAGACAGAGGCAGAGGGAGAAGCUGGCGCCCUGCAGGAGACCGUUGUGGAACUCGGUCCCGAGACUCCAGGAUCAUGCCCUGAGUUGAAGGCAGACACCCAACCACUGAGCCACCCAGGCAUCCCAAGUAAUACAUUUGAGUUUAUGAUGAUGAGGUGACUCAACGGGGAGCCCCUAGAAAACCUCCUGAUGGGACUGGUCACUUUCAGCUUCUCCUAUCUCUGGGAAGCGGAGGAGGGCUGGAGAAUUUUAUCUAUUUUAUUCAUGAGAGACACAGAGAGGCAGAGACAUGGACAGAGGAAGGAUCCCAGGAUCCUGGGAUCAAGACCUGAGCCAAAAGCAGAUGCUCAACCACUGAGCCACCCAGGUGUCCUGAGAAGAUGGAUUUAAAGCUGCUCAACCACCGAGUCACCCAGGUGCCCCGAGAAGAUGGAUUUAAAGCUAUCUUACAUUUUCUCAUUUCUUCUGGAAGUUUGUACCCCAACUAUCUUCGCAAUUAUUGCAUUUAAUCAACUAUCUGCCAGGCCCCCAAGGACAAUAACAUCCAAGACUGUUGAAUGAAUGAAUGGAUGGAUGGAUGGAUUCUAAGGGAAGCAGAUGCUCUGGCAGCCCAUAAGGAAACGUGUUUAUCUUGAAAGCACCUGGCAGAGACAGCAUGGAUAGAGCUGAGCUAGUAGAAAGACCCCAUUUCUCAAACCCAGCUUUCUACAUGGAAUUAUUCAAAGGGAACCCUUAUCAAGCAGCCUUCCAGCUCCGGUGUCAUCCAUCUUCUAAAGGUGCAGCAGUGUACAGAGCAAAGCUCCUUUCCACCUCUGUCUCCUGGUCCCAAAAUUUGACAGUGAACAUUUCCCAGAGAGGAAGAGAUGAGAGGUCCAUGGACCUUGCCCUUAAGGAAUUCCCAGGCAAGCAGAGUGGUGGAAAGACAGCUCAGAUGCAAACUUACUGGACAAAGCAAAACAGCGGGAGAACGGCUGGAAUAUUUCCAGGUCAUGUGGGCUGCUUUUCACCUUCCCCGUCUGUCAAAGCUAAGUGCAGAAAUCCCAAAAGAGAGUGUGGACCUAAGACCUGCAAUUAGCACUCCUGGCAGAUCCACGUGUUUGAAAACAAGUUACACCUUGAAGACAACCCUAAUGACAGCUCAUCUUAUGGAAGAAAAAACAGAGAUUCCAAGAUGCUCAGUCACUCGCUCAGAAUCACAUAGCUGAGAAGAGACAGAACUGGAGGAUUUCAACCCAAAUCCUUUCCAUUAAAAUACUCAGCCUCUUUUUUUUUUUCCUACUCCUGGAUUUGCUGCCCUAGGGAGGUCUGGUAACCAUUUCUACGUUGCUGGGCAGCAAUUUGUCAGUCAGUGAGUGCCUUGGGCAGGCAGUUGGCUUUCAUGGUCUGAUAUCAGGCUGGAGAGAAUUAAGAGGCACUGGGUGCCUUGACUGGGGACAACUGGAAUCAGAGCAGUGCUUCUGCUAUGAGCUCGUUCCUUCAAAACAUUUUGAGUGGGCCUUGGCUGCACAGCUGGGAUAAUUGGCUAGCCCAGGAAUACCAUGAAAGACAUUUACAGGUCCAACUGCUGUCAUUGGAUAUUUUCCUGCACCAGCUGGACUCAAUACCCUCAGUUUUUGAAAAUCUUCAAAAUACUGGGAUUUGUUUUUUGUUUAACUUGCAGGUGGGAGGGGCUGCUGAGCAUCACUGUGGCUCGAAGAAAGGGAGUAGAAACUAACUGGGCGCUGUCCCCUCUUCCCUCUCUUGCCUUCCAAGCUUUGGGCUUAUAUUUUCCACCUGAAGCUCCUUGCUGGGGAAAGUGACACUUUGAUUCAGAACAAGUGAAAAGGAGGCUACGCUUGGCUUAAUGAGAAGUGACCUGGGAACACGCUGGAUUAACCAAGGGAGACUGUAAAGUGCUGUGUAAAUAUCAGCUGCUGGACCGCUGAGGUGGGAAGGCAUUUGAGCCAGUCUGGAAACAGCCACAGCUCCCAGAGGUGAGGCUAAGUGAGCAGCUUUGCAACCCACUGAAACAUGGGACUUGCUGGGUGCUCUGAGAAAGGCAUGCGAGUUCUGAAAAGAGCUUCCAGGCCUUUCUGGGCCUGGCAAGAGUUUCUUAAUGGUUACAAUUCUGACACCAAUUCCAACAUGUAGGUUUUUCCAUCACCACACCAAGCAAUUCUCUGACACCAUCUGGGUGACUGAGAAUUCAACUCAAUUCUGGCACUUUCUCCCUGGAGAUAGCACCAGACCCCAAGGGUUAAGGGCUCAGUAAUAUAAGACUGUCCCCACCACCAACCUCAGAUUCCAGUUGCAAGUCUAGGUUGUCACCUGUGUUUCUUUCUGGCCAACUGGCUAUAGAUGGGAAGUUCCAAGGACCCCCUUCCUCGUGUUCAAUUAAAUUGCUAGAGCAGAUCACAGAACUCAGAGAAACAUUUUACUUACUGUAUUACCAGUUUAUUAUCAGAGGACAUAACUCCAGAACAGCCAGAUGGAAGAGAUGCAUAUGAGUUUCCAUGUUUCCUCUUAGGCAAGCCACUCUUCCCCAAAUCCAUAUGUUCACCAACCUGGAAGCUCCUAGAACCUGUCCUUUUGGGUUUUCAUGGAGGCCUCAUUACAUAGGCAUAAUUGAUGAACUCAUUAGCCACUGGUGAUUGGACUCAGCCCCCAUCCCCUGCACCCUCCCCAGAGGUCAUGGAGGUGGGACUGGAAGUUUCAACCCUCCAACCGCAUGGUUUGCUCUCCUGGCCACUAGUCCCUAUCCUUGGGUUAGCUAGGGCCUUUCCAAACAUUCCCAAAAUGUUUCCUCAUUAACAUAACCAGACACCAUCAUCCUCUCAUAGCUUAGGCAAUUCCAAGGGUUUUACGAGCUCUGUGCCAGGAAUGGGGACAAAGACCAAAUAUAUUUAUUUUUUAUUAUAAAUCCCAAUAUCUUACUCAUCAUCUCUUAUCAUCAGGGAAAUACAAAUCAAAACUACAAUGAGGUUAUCACCUCAUACCUGUCAGAAUGACUAAAAUCAACAGUAUGAGAAAUAGUAGGUAAUGGUGAAGAUAUGGAGAAAAAGGAACCGUGGUGCACUGUUGGUGGGAAUGCAAACUGGUGUAGCCACUGUGGAAAACAGUAUGGAGUGUCCUCAAAAUGUUAAACAGAACUACCUUAUGA